CUUUCUUCAACAAAGAUGGCUGACAAAACAUUACAGGGAAGCAAAUGACAUUUCUAAGUGACCCCAAACUUAUGAACGAUGGGAGAGAAAGAGGGAGGAUGCUGCACCUUGGCGGAGAAAGGGAGGAGGAGGACGAGGAGGAGGAAUUAAUUUUUCCCCUUCGGGAAGAAACACAUGCUGAAUCUCAAGAGUUAGCAGUGAAUCUACCUAUCUUACUCUGAUUGGCAUUAAG